GACGAACGCUGGCGGCGUGCCUAACACAUGCAAGUCGAACGGAGAAUCAGCAAUGAUUCUUAGUGGCGAACGGGUGAGUAACGCGUAGACAACCUGCCUUCUAGAUGGGGACAACACUGCGAAAGUGGUGCUAAUACCGAAUGUUGUAACUUUGCUGCAUGGUGAAGUUACUAAAGGUGGCCUCUAUUUAUAAGCUAUCACUAGAAGAUGGGUCUGCGUCUGAUUGGCUAGUUGGUGAGGUAAUGGCUCACCAAGGCGACGAUCAGUAGCCGGUCUGAGAGGAUGAACGGCCACACUGGGACUGAGACACGGCCCAGACUCCUACGGGAGGCAGCAGUGGGGAAUCUUCCGCAAUGGACGAAAGUCUGAUGGAGCAACGCCGCGUGAGUGAAGAAGGUUUUCGGAUCGUAAAGCUCUGUCUUCAGGGACGAACGUGUAGCUUGUGAAUAAUGAGUUAUAAUGACGGUACCUGAGGAGGAAGCCACGGCUAACUACGUGCCAGCAGCCGCCGUAAUAC
rnacentral:rRNA from 1 species